rnacentral:lncRNA from 1 species
ACGUUAGAAAGGGGAGAGGUAAGACUCAACUGAUGACCACUAGUUGUGAUGUUGGUGGAUAACCAGGAGGUGUUUGCAGUCAGUCAGGUAAACUUGCCAGCGAUUUCAGUUGAAGGAAAAGUUGAACAAGAAGGUCUUUCAUGGAUUCCAUGACCUCCUCUGUCUUCAGAGUGUAUAUGAUGGGAUUCAGCAUAGAUGGUAUUACCUGUCUCAAAGAGUUGUUAAAUAUUCGUGUGUUUGGAUC